UACGUAGGGGGCGAGCGUUGUUCGGAAUUACUGGGCGUAAAGGGCUCGUAGGCGGCCAACUAAGUCGGACGUGAAAUCCCUCGGCUUAACCGGGGAACUGCGUCCGAUACUGGAUGGCUUGAGUUCGGGAGAGGGAUGCGGAAUUCCAGGUGUAGCGGUGAAAUGCGUAGAUAUCUGGAGGAACACCGAUGGCGAAGGCAGGUCUCUGGGCUGACACUGACGCUCAUGCACGAAAGCGUGGGGAGCAAACAGG
rnacentral:rRNA from 1 species